AUGGAGCAAAAUGCUGAUGGAUUGGGCGAUCUGCAUAGCGCUCUGGGACCGUCGUUAUUUCAGUGUUCCAGAGGAAAAUGCGCAUUUGAAAGACGUCUCUGGGCACGGAAAGGAGGAGGAAUGUAUGCGAACUCAUCAGCAGUAGGGGAGAGGCGCUUCUGGCAGAAACAAAAGAGGUUCUUGACAUCAUUUGCCUUUUGCUCCUACUUCAUUAAUUUUAGACUUCAAUCCAUAGCAAGCAAGGAAACAGAUUCUUCCCUGAAGCUUCCAGAAGGAGUGCAGCCUGCCAAUACCUUGAUUUUAGAUUUCUGGCCUCCAGACUUGGAAGAGAAUAAAUCUGUGUUGGAAAACGUGAUAAUCUUCUAUGAAACUACCCACUUUGGGUGGUUUGGAUCUACCCUCUGGUGCUCUGUGCAGCUGCAGGCGGGAGCGAGCAGGUGCAGAGCUUCCCAGAGGCCUUUGCGGUGGAAAGAUGCUUUGGCGCCCUUACCCACCCCACCUCUCUGUCAUGCUUUUUUUUUUUUUUUUUUUUUGGUGUCUGUAGACUUUCUCUCUGACAACUCAUCAGUGCUUUUUACAAAUCAUGUUUUUAAUAUCCAGCAUUUUAGCUGUUUCAAUCAGGUGGGGUUUUCAGUGUGA
rnacentral:lncRNA from 13 species